GCUAGGGGGCCAUCCCGGCUUACCAACCCGAUGCAAACUGCGAAUACCGGAGAAUGUUAUCACGGGAGACACACGGCGGGUGCUAACGUCCGUCGUGAAGAGGGAAACAACCCAGACCGCCAGCUAAGGUCCCAAAGUCAUGGUUAAGUGGGAAACGAUGUGGGAAGGCCCAGACAGCCAGGAUGUUGGCUUAGAAGCAGCCAUCAUUUAAAGAAAGCGUAAUAGCUCACUGGUCGAGUCGGCCUGCGCGGAAGAUGUAACGGGGCUAAACCAUGCACCGAAGCUGCGGCAGCGACGCUUAUGCGUUCGUUGGGUAGGGGAGCGUUCUGUAAGCCUGCGAAGGUGGCCUGUGAGGGUUGCUGGAGGUAUCAGAAGUGCGAAUGCUGACAUAAGUAACGAUAAAGCGGGUGAAAAGCCCGCUCGCCGGAAGACCAAGGGUUCCUGUCCAACGUUAAUCGGGGCAGGGUGAGUCGACCCCUAAGGCGAGGCCGAAAGGCGUAGUCGAUGGGAAACGGGUUAAUAUUCCCGUACUUGGUGUUACUGCGAAGGGGGGACGGAGAAGGCUAUGUUGGCCGGGCGACGGUUGUCCCGGUUUAAGCGUGUAGGU
rnacentral:rRNA from 1 species